rfam:Nipponia nippon contig129863, whole genome shotgun sequence.
GGACUGGCUUUUUUCAAAGCCACAUGAAUAGUUCCAGAAGAGUUUGAU